GGCGGCCGCUUCAAUACAGAAAGCUGCAAUCCAACGCAGCAAUGUAAAGAUAUAGAAAGUGAAGAGGCAGAUGGGGAUAUCUGGGAAAAAUGCCCAAUCUUUGGAUAUCCCUCUGCUUGGGUGUUUUGACUGGCCAUUGAUAACAGACGCCCGAAAUCAAAAAGCGUCGGCGCCACCAUGGUCGGUUUGUAUUAAAGGAGUCUUCGUAUUCCAUGUUACAGAUUCGAGAAUAUAAAUUCCAGCAGAAUCCCUGUGUUUAUAGAGGC